rnacentral:rRNA from 1 species
AUUGAACGCUGGCGGCAUGCCUUACACAUGCAAGUCGAACGGUAACAGGUCUUCGGAUGCUGACGAGUGGCGAACGGGUGAGUAAUACAUCGGAACGUGCCCGAGAGUGGGGGAUAACGAGGCGAAAGCUUUGCUAAUACCGCAUACGAUCUCAGGAUGAAAGCAGGGGACCGCAAGGCCUUGCGCUCACGGAGCGGCCGAUGGCAGAUUAGGUAGUUGGUGGGAUAAAAGCUUACCAAGCCGACGAUCUGUAGCUGGUCUGAGAGGACGACCAGCAACACUGGGACUGAGACAAGGCCCAGACUCCUACGGGAGGCAGCAGUGGGGAAUUUUGGACAAUGGGCGCAAGCCUGAUCCAGCCAUGCCGCGUGCAGGAUGAAGGCCUUCGGGUUGUAAACUGCUUUUGUACGGAACGAAAAGACUCUGGUUAAUACCUGGGGUCCAUGACGGUACCGUAAGAAUAAGCACCGGCUAACUACGUGCCAGCCGCCGCGGUAACAC